rnacentral:tRNA from 1 species
GCCCUAGUAGCUUAGACAUAAAGUGCCGGUCUUGUAAUCCGGAGAUCGAAGGUUGAAGUCCUUCCUAGCGCC